rnacentral:lncRNA from 10 species
CUGGAUCAGAGCAGGCCCUCUGUUUACUUAAGGAAUGAAUGAAUAAACUCAGAAAGCCUUUGUGGAUUGUAGACUCAGAAACAGGAGACUGUCGAAUCUGGGCUGGAACAUCCCGGAGACUGUGAGGAUUACAGACACGCAGGGAGCUCGGGCAGGGAGGGUCGGUGUUCCCUGAGCAGAGACAGGAUCUUGCCCAGGCUGGAGUGCAGUGGCUAUUCACAAGUGCAAUCGUAGUGCACUACAGUCUUGGACUCCUGGCCUCAAGCAAUCCCACCUGUUUCCUGAGUAGCUGGACUAUAGGUUCCCUGACCUCCCUGGACCUCAGUUUCCAAAUCUGCUGAUGGAGGAUGAUGUUUUCAGUGCCUACACAGCUCCCAAAGUGAAGAUGAUAUGGAAACUGGGUGGUGUCGAGGACGGUCACACAGAGCCAAGGAGCAGAAAUGCUUGCCCUGCUUCUGCCAUGGUCUUCACAGUGAGAGACAGGCAGCUAUGCCCCUGAAUUCUCCAGGACCUGCCAAGUUGGGCCAUUUCAGAGAGGAGAAACUGAGACUCGGAGCUAUGUAAUCAGCAUACUGGAGCAUAGAAAGCAGAGACAGGCAGAAGGCAAGAACUCAGAGAUGGGAAAGGAAUCCUGACCCACCCAGAUUGGCAAAGCCAUUGCAGACCCAUGGUUCUGGGGUUUUCCUGUUGGCUCGCAAAGUGAUAUCAAGUCAGAGGUAUUGUUUUCCCUUGUCUCUGCCAUUGAUAAGACAGAGAAAAACAGCUCCCAUGAUAACAUUGAUGCUGCCAGCCCUUCCUGCUACUGGCUUUCCUGGUUGGAGUCCUCUCCUAUGCUCCUUCCUCUCUCUCCUUCCGGACUGAGAUUCAAGCCGAGAUGCCUUGUGGGGCAAAGGAGCCGGCGGUGAGGUUCCCUCCUUCAGUUGCUUCAGCAGGCACAUAGCUCCUUCUGAUCUUGGACAAAGCCCAAAAGGCUCUGAGGCAGUGGUGUGCUGGGGCAGGCUCAUACUGACUCAUUAGAGCCAAUUGCUAAAUUUCGGGGAAUCUUGUAAGCCAAUUGUUAAACACAGUCAUUAUUAAAAAUUAGAUGAUAUGAGAUUGCAACUAAAUAAUUUAUACUUUUUUAAAAGUAAUAAACACUCCUAACUCAUCAUGUCCUAUUUACUUUAUUGCAUUUUACUGUUAACUAUCCUCUGGAGGUAAUUUACA